AGAGUUUGAUCCUGGCUCAGAAUAAACGCUGGCGGCGUGCUUAACACAUGCAAGUCGAGCGAGAAAGGUCUUCGGACUGAGUAAAGCGGCAAACGGGUGAGUAACGCGUAGGAAUCUGCCUUUCAGUGAGGAAUACCCUCGAGAAAUCGAGGUUAAUACUGCAUACGUCUCGAAAGAGAGAAAGAUGGCCUCUUUGCUGUCGCUGAAAGAUGAGCCUGCGUACUAUUAGCUAGUUGGUGGGGUAAAAGCCUACCAAGGCGAUGAUGGUUAGCCGGCCUGAGAGGGUGUACGGCCACACUGGAACUUAGACACGGUCCAGACUCCUACGGGAGGCAGCAGUGAGGAAUAUUGCGCAAUGGGCGAAAGCCUGACGCAGCGACGCCGCGUGGAGGAUGAAGGUCUUCGGAUUGUAAACUUCUGUUAAGUGGGAAGAAAAGAGGGGCUCUAAUACAGCUCUAAAAUGACGGUACCACUAGAGAAAGCACCGGCUAACUUCGUGCCAGCAGCCGCGGUAAUACGAAGGGUGCGAGCGUUAUUCGGAUUUAUUGGGCGUAAAGGGUGCGCAGGCGGUGCGCUAAGUCAACUGUUAAAUCUCCCGGCCUAACCGGGAAUCAGCGGUAGAUACUGGCGUGCUAGAGGGUGGAAGAGAGAAGUGGAAUUCUUGGAGUAGCGGUAAAAUGCGUAGAUCUCAAGAGGAACACCGAUGGCGAAGGCAGCUUCUUGGUCCACAUCUGACGCUCAUGCACGAAAGCGUGGGGAGCAAACAGGAUUAGAUACCCUGGUAGUCCACGCCGUAAACG
rnacentral:rRNA from 1 species